rnacentral:rRNA from 1 species
UGAGUAACGCGUAUGCAACCUACCUAUCAGACGGGGAAUAACCCGGCGAAAGUCGGACUAAUACCGCAUAAAACAGGGGCACCGCAUGGUGAUAUUUGUUAAAGAAAUUCGCUGAUAGAUGGGCAUGCGUUCCAUUAGGUAGUUGGUGAGGUAACGGCUCACCAAGCCGACGAUGGAUAGGGGAACUGAGAGGUUGGUCCCCCCACACUGGUACUGAGACACGGACCAGACUCCUACGGGAGGCAGCAGUGAGGAAUAUUGGUCAAUGGGCGGGAGCCUGAACCAGCCAAGUCGCGUGAAGGAAGAAGGAUCUAUGGUUCGUAAACUUCUUUUGCAGGGGAAUAAAGUGCAGGACGUGUCCUGUUUUGUAUGUACCCUGAGAAUAAGGAUCGGCUAACUCCGUGCCAGCCGCCGC